ACGACGAAUUUCCAUAACAACCAUCAAGAUUAUCAGUGAGAAAAAAAAUCUGAUUAAAUGAUUUAAUCAGAAAUAAACAACAACAAAUGUAAUCCAUAGAAACUAUUUAUGAAGUGAUAUUAAUUUAUCGGGCGGCAGCGGGUAAAAAAAACAUCAAUCAA